rnacentral:lncRNA from 1 species
UAAUGAGCUCUUGAAGGUUAUUUUCCCUUACACAAAUCAUGGAACAGGAAUACUACAGCUUUGUGGGCUGUUUGAUGCUUAUUUCUUGCUACAGCAUCAGCAAGGUCCCUGCCAAAGCUCGAUGGAACUAAGGCACGAUGGAAUCUGCAGAGAUCAGGAUGACCAGUCACUUCCCUCACUUGAAAUGAUAAGCAAGGCAAGAGAUAAUGCAUUCACAGCCUUUGAUCAACUGCUGUACAUAUGGCACAUGAUGAAAAUCAGACAAAAAGCAAAGUGAUAUUCUCGAUAAAACAGACAUUUCUCACUUUAUGCAAUGACAGAAAAGGUGUUUUGUGAGGACAUCUGCCCUUUGGAUGCAGAAGUGUCUGCAGUCCUCCGAGUAUCUCAGAAUGAUCAAGUGGAACAGUGAGAAUUCCCAGAAAAGUAAAGUCAAUACACUUCCUUGGUUUUUGGCAUCGCUGUUUUCUCUCAUGUGACAACAUGCAUAGAGCAGCAUGACUUAUUCCUGCUUCUGUCCAUUGUAUGUUAGUGAGUGACAGAAGAGCUUUUUAUGACUGAGCAGGAGGAACAGAGAAGCUGCUCUAGAAAGGAGAACACAUUUUCAUGUAGAUUAAUUACACUGUGAAAGUCUUCACAAGGAGCAUAUGAUCCACAUAAUGUUUUCUUUUAAAAUAUUUAGCCUACUGCAAGGACAGCAUUCUACAUGUUACAAAGACGACAGUUUGAGGGAUACCUCUGCUUUCUCAUAAGUACAAAGUACCUCUGCUUUCUCAUAAGUACAAAGCACCAAGUAUUUUUGCACCAUGAUUUAUCAGCCAUGCAGUAUAAAAUUUAUUGACAGAACUUGCUUCUCUUCUCUGACUUCUACCACGUUGUACCCUAAUAUUUUUGGACAGUAUCCUACUCAGUCUGGGCUUGAUUUCCUUUCAUCCAAACUCCAUGAAAAUGAAUAGGUUUAGCAACAUGUCAAGAAAGUAUCUGGAUUCAGAAAAAAACGACAGAGGCAAAACAGCCAAGGUCUCUGAAUGUGGGACACUGUGAUGUAACUGACUUCUACCAUGGCAAGAGGCAGCCACUUAGGCUGCAUAUCUUAAAAUGCCUCUCCUACAACAGUACCAUUCAUCUAGAGACACAAUCUCUUCUGGAGCCGUUAUUAAGAUUAUAUUUAAUUCUAUUAUGUCCCCAAAAC